rnacentral:rRNA from 1 species
GCUUAAAAGUCAGCCGCCUUAAACACCACAAACCCGCCCAACAAAAACCCCUAAACCAUUCGCCAUGCUAAGUAUAGGAGAUAGAACUGCACCCCGCGCGCAAUAGCCAACAGUACCACAUGGGAACACUGAAAGACAAUUAACCCUUAAAGCACGAAAAAGCAGGGCUAAACCCCCGUACCUCUUGCAUCAUGGUCUAACAAGCCCUGCCCAGAUAAAGUGCACUAAAACCUGCCCCCCCGAACCCAGACGAGCUACCCCCGGCCAAUCAACAAUGGAUUUACCCCAUCUCUGUGGCAAAAGAGUGGAACCAGCCCCGGGUAGUGGUGAAACGCCUACCGAGCCUGGUGAUAGCUGGUUGCUCAUUAAACGAAUAUAAGUUCGACUCUAGUUUUUUUCCCCCCCCCGCCACCACUACGCCCUUGUAACCAACUAGAAGCUACACAAUUAGGGACCAGCCUAACUGUGCCCGGACACAGCCCAACUAGCUGGGUCAGCCAAAUAAACACCGCCCCGUAGGCCUCCGAGCAGCCACCCCUAAAAAUAGCGUCAAAGCAAGACACACAAAAAUUUCUUAUGAUUCCCCCAUUCAAGCCCGCCCAUAAAACUGAGCCCCUCUGGCCAACCCCAGAGGAGAUAAUGUUAGAACUAGUAAUAAGAGCCCCCUCUCUCCCCGCACCGCCUUACGCCGGCACGGAUCUCCCACCGGCAGUUACCAACUACACCCCCCCCCACAAAAAUAACAAACUGUCACCCCAACACAGGCGUGCCCAAAAGAGCCGGCAAACCACCAUAAAAGGAACUCGGCUAAAAUGCCCCACCUGUUUACCAAAAACAUGGCCUUUAGCAUACCAAGUAUUAAAGGUCCCGCCUGCCCAGUGAACCACUUUUAAACGGCCGCGGUAUUCUAACCGUGCAAAGGUAGCGUAAUCACUUGCCCCUUAAAUAGGGGCUUGUAUGAACGGCUAAAUGAGGGCCUAACUGUCUCCUAUGGCAAGCCAAUGAAACUGCUCUCUCAGUACAAAAGCUGAGAUACACCCACAAGACGAGAAGACCCUGUGGAGCUUUUAAACACCACACUAAACCACCCUGCCCAAUCAUAGUGCUAAACUUUAAGUUGGGGCGACUGCGGAGUAAAACACAACCUCCAUGUAACAGGACAACCAUCCAUUCCAGGCCUACAAGCCAAAAUUAUAACCAACCACUUGACCCAGCAUCGCUGACCACCGGCCCAAGUUACCCCAGGGAUAACAGCGCCCUCCUCCUCAAGAGUCCCUAUCGCCAGGAGGGUUUACGACCUCGAUGUUGG